UUCAUCGUGCGGUUACGAUUGUCUGAUAGUAUUUUAUUUUUCAUUUUUUUUUUCUACAAAUCGGAAUGAUCUGAAAUUUGAAGCCUGUGUUCAUCAAAAAUUAGGGAAUCUUUUAAAAAUAUAUAAAAAAAAUAUUUUACAUAAAUAAUAUUGACCAAAAUACCCAUGAAAUGUUUUAGGGGUAUUUUGGUUAAUUUGUUUAAGCGGAUAAUUUUUUUAUAUUUUUAUUAAAAGCACCUCAGUAAGAUGUACAUAUCCUCAAAAUUUCAACCCAUUUUGAUUUUUAAAACCAAAAUAAAAAAUAAAAUACUACCAAAUAAUUGUGACCACGCGAUGAAAUUUGGACAUGAGAGUAGACAAAAUUACUAUUCAUUUUUACCUCGUUGGGAAGACUUUUCCAUCCAUAUAUAUAUAUAUAUUCUUCUUAACGCUUAUUGGCAAAAAUGAAUAGUGAUUUUGUCUACCCUCAUUACUGUCCAAAUUUCAUCGUGCGGUCACGUUUGUCUGUUAGUGUUUUAUUUUUCAGUUUUUUUCUAUAAAUUAGAAUGACUUGAAAUUUCAAGAGUAUGUACAUCUUACUGAGGCUCAUUCAAAAAAAAUUAUCCUGGAAAACAAAAUUGACCAAAAUACCCCCAAAACUUUUUAAGGGUAUUUUAGUCAAUAUGUUUCAUGUAAAAUAUUUUUUUAUAUUUUUCGAACAUUACCUUAUUAUUGAUGAAUACACGCUCCAAAUUUCAGGUCAUUCUAAUUUGUAAAAAUAAAUAAACAAUAAAACACUAUCAGAUAAUCGUGACCACGCGAUUAA
rnacentral:pre_miRNA from 1 species